UGAGGUUGCAACAUUUUAAGAGAUAGCCU
rnacentral:piRNA from 1 species